UACGAGGGGGGCGAGCGUUGUUCGGAAUCACUGGGCGUAAAGGGUGCGUAGGCGGGUCUUUAAGUCAGGGGUGAAAUCCUGGAGCUCAACUCCAGAACUGCCUUUGAUACUGAAGAUCUUGAGUUCGGGAGAGGUGAGUGGAACUGCGAGUGUAGAGGUGAAAAUUCGUAGAUAUUCGCAAGAACACCAGUGGCGAAGGCGGCUCACUGGCCCGAUACUGACGCUGAUGCACGAAAGCGUGGGGAGCAAACAGG
rnacentral:rRNA from 1 species